AAACCUCUUUUAGCAGGGAAGAAGCGAAAGUGACGGUACCUGCAGAAAAAGCGCCGGCUAACUACGUGCCAGCAGCCGCGGUAAUACGUAGGGCGCAAGCGUUAUCCGGAAUUAUUGGGCGUAAAGAGCUCGUAGGCGGUUUGUCGCGUCUGCUGUGAAAUCCCGAGGCUCAACCUCGGGUCUGCAGUGGGUACGGGCAGACUAGAGUGCGGUAGGGGAGAUUGGAAUUCCUGGUGUAGCGGUGGAAUGCGCAGAUAUCAGGAGGAACACCGAUGGCGAAGGCAGAUCUCUGGGCCGUUACUGACGCUGAGGAGCGAAAGGGUGGGGAGCAAACAGGCUUAGAUACCCUGGUAGUCCACCCCGUAAACGUUGGGAACUAGUUGUGGGGUCCAUUCCACGGAUUCCGUGACGCAGCUAACGCAUUAAGUUCCCCGCCUGGGGAGUACGGCCGCAAGGCUAAAACUCAAAGGAAUUGACGGGGACCCGCACAAGCGGCGGAGCAUGCGGAUUAAUUCGAUGCAACGCGAAGAACCUUACCAAGGCUUGACAUAUACGAGAACGGGCCAGAAAUGGUCAACUCUUUGGAC
rnacentral:rRNA from 1 species